UGGGCGUAAGAGCUCGUAGGCGGUUUGUCGCGUCUGCUGUGAAAUCCCGAGGCUCAACCUCGGGCCUGCAGUGGGUACGGGCAGACUGGAGUGCGGUAGGGGAGAAUGGAACUCCUGGUGUAGCGGUGGAAUGCGCAGAUAUCAGGAAGAACACCGAUGGCGAAGGCAGUUCUCUGGGCCGUAACUGACGCUGAGGAGCGAAAGCGUGGGGAGCGAACAGGAUUAGAUACCCUGGUAGUCCACGCCGUAAACGUUGGGCGCUAGAUGUGGGGACCAUUCCACGGUUUCCGUGUCGCAGCUAACGCAUUAAGCGCCCCGCCUGGGGAGUACGGCCGCAAGGCUAAAACUCAAAGGAAUUGACGGGGGCCCGCACAAGCGGCGGAGCAUGCGGAUUAAUUCGAUGCAACGCGAAGAACCUUACCAAGGCUUGACAUACACCAGAACGCCCUAGAAAUAGGGAACUCUUUGGACACUGGUGGACAGGUGGUGCAUGGUUGUCGUCAGCUCGUGUCGUGAGAUGUUGGGUUAAGUCCCGCAACGAGCGCAACCCUCGUUCUAUGUUGCCAGCACGUGAUGGUGGGAACUCAUAGGAGACUGCCGGGGUCAACUCGGAGGAAGGUGGGGAU
rnacentral:rRNA from 1 species